UACGUAGGGUGCGAGCGUUAAUCGGAAUUACUGGGCGUAAAGCGUGCGCAGGCGGUUCGUUGUGUCUGAUGUGAAAGCCCCGGGCUCAACCUGGGAAUGGCAUUGGAAACUGGCGAGCUGGAGUGUGGCAGAGGGGGGUGGAAUUCCGCGUGUAGGCAGUGAAAUGCGUAGAGAUGACGGAGGAACACCAAUGGCGAAGGCAGGCCGUUCUGGGCCGAACACUGACGCUCAUGCACGAAAGCGUGGGAGCAAACAGGA
rnacentral:rRNA from 1 species